CCCCCCAAUCUUCCCUAUUCCUACAAGGAAACAUCCCCCUCCCCCCUUCCCCCCCCAUUUGUGUGUGAGCAUGCGGGCAGGCGAUACUCUUUGUUUCAACCUGACCUCUACCUCAUGGUGACCCCCUCUUGGUUGGGGGGGGGGAAGAGGACGGGAUGGGGGGGAAGAAGGAGGAGAGGGUGAGGGGAGACUUCUGCAGAUACAGCCUUUAUACAUCAAGAGGUUGCCUAUAGGAGGAAGCCGAUGGCUGCAGCAUCCAGCGCAUUAUUACCUUGCGAUGCCGUGACCCUCCUCCAUGCAUCCCUAACUCUUUAAAGCUGAUUCAGCUAGCGCUCUGGAGGCUCCCCUGCUGCAACAGAAUCUCCUCACUGUUUGUCAGGUAAACCACAACCGGCCUCAGCUGCUACAGAGUUCAACUGGGUGGCUUUUUCUUAACACUGAAAGAAAUAAAGAAAGUGAAGACAUUCUCUUUCUGGGGCUCUUUGGGAGGCAGAAGAAAUCCUGGACUUACUAGUUCCCAGAAUGAUUUACCCCAGAGAAGAUGCCUGGUUAUCUUCUUGAAGCAUUCAUGCCUCCACCAUGUGGACCAGUGUGAGAGCACCUCAUGUGCAACUUCUUUUUUUUUUUUGUAAAUUUAUUUAUUUAUUUUUGGUUUUCAAC